GUGGGGAAUAUUGCACAAUGGGCGCAAGCCUGAUGCAGCCAUGCCGCGUGUGUGAAGAAGGCCUUCGGGUUGUAAAGCACUUUCAGCGGGGAGGAAGGCGGUGAGGUUAAUAACCUCAUCGAUUGACGUUACCCGCAGAAGAAGCACCGGCUAACUCCGUGCCAGCAGCCGCGGUAAUACGGAGGGUGCAAGCGUUAAUCGGAAUUACUGGGCGUAAAGCGCACGCAGGCGGUCUGUCAAGUCGGAUGUGAAAUCCCCGGGCUUAACCUGGGAACUGCAUUCGAAACUGGCAGGCUAGAGUCUUGUAGAGGGGGGUAGAAUUCCAGGUGUAGCGGUGAAAUGCGUAGAGAUCUGGAGGAAUACCGGUGGCGAAGGCGGCCCCCUGGACAAAGACUGACGCUCAGGUGCGAAAGCGUGGGGAGCAAACAGGAUUAGAAACCCCGGUAGUCC
rnacentral:rRNA from 1 species